GCGUGCCUUCCUCUUCCUGGUUGGGCCUUCCUCAGGAGAGGCGCUCAUGUCCAAAUUCACUGCGAACGAACGAACGAACGAGAACCGGGUGUCAUGCACGGGUGGGCCCAGUUCUCUUAAAAAUGAACGGAAACCAAAUGACUUGUUCUAUGGAAGAUUUUUGUUUCAUAUCCAAGUAAAAAACGGGGAGAGGAUUCUUGCUCGAUAUAGUAAUUGUACGUUUCGACGUCAAUCUUCAAUGUCCGCACCAUCAAAGGAGGAGAUUGAAUUUGUUGCUGAAACAAAUUCCUGAUUCAACCAAUCCUAUAGAAAUUGUUGCUUUAGGCUAUAGUCUAGCUGCGUGAUUGCUCACCUUUCUUCGCAUCAAGUGUCACAAUAGUACCAACCAAAAUUUUUCAUCAGAAGAAAAGCUUGACUGGCACAAAAUUCCAUUGGUUACCCAAGACUAAUUACUAGUAAAGAUUUUACACCACUUCAAUCGAUGUCAAUUAAUUUUGAGACGAAUUUUGGGUUGGUUUUUUUUUUUUUUUUUUUUUCUAUUCAAGUUAUAGUUCUUUCAAGAUUCUAGUCCAGGUUCUUCAACACUUGCAAUAAUUUAUUGACCCGGAGCUCGAUCCCAAACAAGUUGUUGGUUAAGGUACAGAUAGAUGCUAGGUGCAUACAGUAAAAGAGAACUUCGGUUCCAUUGAAGGGUCAUCGGUUAAGCUAGCAACUGAUUAUUUUAUUUAUGACCUUUCACUUCCAGACAAAUCCAGGGAGCUGGAUAAACAAGAAAUUUACGUGCAUCCCACAAGAAAUUUAGCUGCUGAUGCCUAUUACAGCGGUAGGGAAAAGGGAGGAGACAGAAAUUCACGACCAACAACAGUCACAUCAGACGCAAGCUGAGCAUCUCAUUUGGCGGAUAUUGUCGUUACUAAACCUAACCAGGCCAAAUUGCUAUUUGCUACACAUGAAAAACACCUGCUACGACUACAUAGUACAGUGAUAGUAGUACUGACAAAUUAACAGGGACGACAGGUAGGCAAAGCCAGCGGGCAGCGACAGAAGCUGCGUAGACGCGUAUCUGACGUUUCAGCUAAUUAAUCCUUUGUAACUAAGGUCGCACUACGGGUAGGUGUUGCUGAGCUUGCAUCAUCUGCAGAUUCACUCUUGAGCAUGAACGGAUCAUCUCACCGGCCAAUGGGAUCACUGGCAGGUUGUCACAGUUGCAUAUCUCAAUCAUGAAUCCAUCUGGAUCAUGGAAGAACAGCUGAUCCACAUAAAUCCCACCUUCUUCCACUCGCUGCCUCACGUACUUGAUUUCCAUUUCCGCCAGCAUCUUCUCCACUGCAGCCAUACUGUCACACUGCACAUAGCCCAUGAUUCAAGCCAAUUUUUUUUUUUUGGGGGGGGGGAGGUAUAAAAUUAUACUACAGCAGCAGGAAACCCACAAAAUUUAGUGCUGUUUUUGGUUUUUGUGACAAUGAUAGGAUGUCUACAAGUUUGUAACGUAAAUAGUACUAUUAGGUUACGUUGACAGAGUCCAUAUCAGGACUUCCUCAACUGAGUAGAUAAUACGCAAGAAACUGCAUUACAUCCGGCAUAAUUCUGUCACGGCAUUUUCCUUUUUCCUAUUAUUUUUGGUACAUUUCUUUAACAGAAAAUUCUAUAUUGAAUUUUAGAAACCGUCCUCAAUUCCUAGUUCCGAAAUAUGUACCCAAAAGGGGAAGUGGAAUCUUCCUUUUUUCAGAGGAGAUGACGACAACUAUUGUAUAAUCUAUCUAUCAUAAAUUAUAGGGAAGGGGAGUCUAAAGAAACUGUGUUUGAAACUAGCAGAUACAUAAAACUUACUAGAUCAAGACAGUGCUUUGGCGCAAUCCUUAAAUUUUUUUUUUUUAGUGCAGGUAAGAUUUAAACUUGCUCAGUGGUUUCCCUUCUUUGAUACUAUCAUCGUAUCAUUGCAGAAGCACAAUUUAUCAAUAAUUUCUGGUCACUUUAGAGAAACCUAGUUAAUAGCUGUACCAAAUGCUACUAGUCUAUACUACCUUCAAUUUGGAAUCAAAGUUUUUGACUUCAUCCAGGUAUUCAUUUACGGUCUCUUUCUCGUAAUCAUAGUGCUUUCAUGAGAUCACAGAGGAGCGGAAAAAACAUGGUACGAAAUGAAAGAACACGCACACGCACACAGUCACACACACACCAGAGUGAAAGUAGUUGAAGCAAAAAGCAGAGGUGCAGUCAUGCACCACCAGUAGCGUUAUUAAGACCCCCACCCGAAACACAGACAACAUCAGAUUUCACAGCACCAAUACUAAGACCGAGAAACAACCUGAAAAGAUAUAUGAUUAUCCUUGGGAUUGAUUACGGUCUUCUCCGGCAUGUCGUCCGGAUUUUCGGCUUGCAAUAGAUGUAUUCCAAUCCCAUAACUAAACAACCUGCACCGUAUCAAAACCACGAGAAAUUAGCAAAAAAAAAAAAAAGAAGAAGUUCGAUCAAGAACUUUCACGGCGAAGAUGAGAUAAGUUGAUAUACCAUGCUCCAUCAAAAUUGAACGAUCCAGGCCUCCUAACGGGGACGAACCCAAGAACGCUGGUGUAAAAUCCAUUGAUUGUCCACGGAUUUACAAAUAAGUGAGAUGUGAUUCAGGGAUGUCAAGUGCAAUGGAUUUGCCAUAUUUCCCUUCAUUUUCUUUAAAAAAAAAAAAUGUAAUACCAGCGGCACGAAUUCAAGGAUCGAUCGUACAAGUGGAGCCUGCACGUUUAAGAAUACUUGGAAAAAAUGAUUGGAACAGAAAAAUGAUUGGGAUAGACAAACCCUGUUACAUAAAUCAACGAAAAUUCAGCGAAUGGAUAAAGCUAAGGGGAGAGCAAAAUGGGAAAAAGAUGAAUAAAGAUAAUCAGAGAGAAAAGGUCGCCCGUCACGGCACUUGUGAUACUAGUGAAGAAGAUGAAACUAGAUGGCCAGAGCUAUAUAUAACUUUAAAUAGGUGCAGCAAUCCCCCGGGGAAAAAAAAAAGAGAAGAGUAGUCCGGCAGCUAUAAAUGAGCAAAUACAUUUCUGUCGACGUAUCUACCCCAGUGGUCACCAGGUGUCCCACAUGGGAUUCAUAUGACACGUAGAUCCUACGCAGCUUACCUCCGAUAAUCAUCUGACGGGUUGAGAUUUUUGCGCCUACUCACCAAUGAUUCAUCUGGUGGGUGUCCUCGCUUGUGCACGCUGGCAAUCCCUGGAUUUUUGCUAAUUUUAUUUUUGUUUUGCUGCAAUUAGGCAGUGCCUUUUUUGUGUUAUUUAAUGAAUUCAAGGGGAAAUUUCAAACCUUAAGAGAGAAGGAAACUAAAAAAAAGUUUAAACGUUGAAUUAAAGAAUUUUCAUGAUGUCUCUCUCAAGUCUACAAAUUGAGCUGAAUUUCAAAAUUUAAAUUAAUGUGUAUAUACUAUCAUCAUAUAUCACAUCAAAGUAAAAUUCAAAUUUUAUUCUGUCAUGCAUCUAAUCAUAAAACAGUGUACGCACGUAUUUAACAAUGACAAUGUAUAUAUUUAACUCUUAAAACAUUAGGCAAUAUCUUUACUACAUGCUGUGAAAAGUUAAAAAGGAAAGAAGAAGUUAAUAUGUAGAUAUGCUUCCAAGUUUUCUUAACAGAUCGGGAUGAAGAGUUUAAGAUUUUUCCUUCAAGGAAAAGGCGAAAUAUUGUAGACUUCAAAGAGUACUACUAU
rnacentral:lncRNA from 1 species